AUUGAACGCUGGCGGCAUGCUUUACACAUGCAAGUCGAACGGCAGCGCGGACUUCGGCCUGGCGGCGAGUGGCGAACGGGUGAGUAAUACAUCGGAACAUGCCCAGUAGUGGGGGAUAGCUCGGCGAAAGCCGGAUUAAUACCGCAUACGACCUGAGGGUGAAAGCGGGGGAUCUUCGGACCUCGCGCUAUUGGAGCGGCCGAUGGCAGAUUAGCUAGUUGGUGGGGUAAAGGCCUACCAAGGCGACGAUCUGUAGCUGGUCUGAGAGGACGACCAGCCACACUGGGACUGAGACACGGCCCAGACUCCUACGGGAGGCAGCAGUGGGGAAUUUUGGACAAUGGGCGAAAGCCUGAUCCAGCAAUGCCGCGUGUGUGAUGAAGGCCUUCGGGUUGUAAAGCACUUUUGGCGGGAACGAAAAGGACUGUGCCAAUACCACGGUUCGAUGACGGUACCCGCAGAAUAAGCACCGGCUAACUACGUG
rnacentral:rRNA from 1 species